UCCGGUUUGUCACCGGCAGUCUCAUUAGAGUGCCCUUUCGUAGCAACUAAUGACAAGGGUUGCGCUCGUUGCGGGACUUAACCCAACAUCUCACGACACGAGCUGACGACAGCCAUGCAGCACCUGUGUACUGGUUCUCUUUCGAGCACUCCCCGAUCUCUCAAGGAUUCCAGCCAUGUCAAGGGUAGGUAAGGUUUUUCGCGUUGCAUCGAAUUAAUCCACAUCAUCCACCGCUUGUGCGGGUCCCCGUCAAUUCCUUUGAGUUUUAAUCUUGCGACCGUAUUCCCCAGGCGGUAUGCUUAUCGCGUUAGUUUAGCCACUGAACGGUAAACCGUCCAACAGCGAGCAUACAUCGUUUAGGGCGUGGACUAC
rnacentral:misc_RNA from 1 species